GACGAACGCUGGCGGCGUGCUUAACACAUGCGAGUCGAACGGAAAGGCCCUGCUUUUGUGGGGUGCUCGAGUGGCGAACGGGUGAGUAACACGUGAGUAACCUGCCCUUGACUUUGGGAUAACUUCAGGAAACUGGGGCUAAUACCGGAUAGGAGCUCCUGCUGCAUGGUGGGGGUUGGAAAGUUUCGGCGGUUGGGGAUGGACUCGCGGCUUAUCAGCUUGUUGGUGGGGUAGUGGCUUACCAAGGCUUUGACGGGUAGCCGGCCUGAGAGGGUGACCGGCCACAUUGGGACUGAGAUACGGCCCAGACUCCUACGGGAGGCAGCAGUGGGGAAUAUUGCACAAUGGGCGGAAGCCUGAUGCAGCAACGCCGCGUGCGGGAUGACGGCCUUCGGGUUGUACACCGCUUUCGCCUGUGACGAAGCGUGAGUGACGGUAAUGGGUAAAGAAGCACCGGCUAACUACGUG
rnacentral:rRNA from 1 species